rnacentral:rRNA from 1 species
UACGUAGGGCGCAAGCGUUGUCCGGAAUUAUUGGGCGUAAAGAGCUCGUAGGCGGUCUGUCGCGUCGGCUGUGAAAUCCCGGAGCUCAACUCCGGGUCUGCAGUCGAUACGGGCAAACUGGAGUACUGCAGGGGAGACUGGAAUUCCUGGUGUAGCAGUGAAAUGCGCAGAUAUCAGGAAGAACACCCGUGGCGAAGGCGGCUCUCUGGGACGGUACUGACGCUGAGACGCGAAAGCGUGGGGAGCGAACAGG